rnacentral:misc_RNA from 1 species
GGGAAACAGCCGUGGCAAGAGAGGAAAUGAAAGUAGUAGGGUUAGGAUGAUGUAAAAUGAGGAGAGAACACGAAAGCAAAGCAAAGUCGCGUGAGGCCGAGCGCUUCCCUUCCCUCGUGAGAAAAGGGGUGGCGUGGUAUUUCACGGAGAGAGGCUCUUUGCAGGAUCGUGGCGCGUGAUAGUGCGACGGGCGCACAUUAACCGAGCUUGGGGCUUCCAUGGCCGCUUCACUGCUCUAGUCUUUGCAGCCAAAGCGAGGG